rnacentral:rRNA from 1 species
AGAGUUUGAUUCUGGCUCAGGAUGAACGCUGGCGGCAGGCCUAAUACAUGCAAGUCGGACGGCAGCAUGCCGUAGCAAUACGGUGAUGGCGAGUGGCGUACGGGUGCGUAACACGUGUGCAACCUGCCCCGCACAGGGACAAAACGCCGGGAAACUGGCGCUAAUAUCCCAUGACGCCGCGCUGGGGCAUCCCUUUGCGGCUAAAGAGGCGACUCGGUGCGGGAUGGGCACGCGUCCCAUUAGAUAGUUGGCGGGGUGACGGCCCACCAAGUCCGCGAUGGUAGGGGUUCUGAGAGGACAGGCCCCCCACACUGGAACUGAGACACGGUCCAGACUCCUACGGGAGGCAGCAGUAAGGAAUAUUGGUCAAUGGGAGGAAUCCUGAACCAGCCAUGCCCGCGUGCGGGAGGAAGGCCCUACGGGUCGUAAACCGCUUUUGCCCGGGGAUAGUGCGGCCCACGAGUGGGCCGAGUGAAGGUACCGGGCGAAUAAGCAUCGGCUAACUCCGUGCCAGCAGCUGC